UUCAUACUUUUCGGUAAAGGACUUUCCUUUAUCCAGGGUGAUGAUUGGGUUCGCCACAGACGAAUCUUGAACCCUGCUUUCUCCAUGGACCGGCUCAAGGCCAUGACGAAACCGAUGGUGGAAUGCACCUUGAGGAUGUUCGAGGAGUGGAGAAA